rnacentral:rRNA from 1 species
AUGCCCACUUGUGGGUGGAUUAGUGGCGAACGGGUGAGUAACACGUGAGUAACCUGCCCUUGACUCUGGGAUAAGCCUGGGAAACUGGGUCUAAUACCGGAUAUGACCUUCCAUCGCAUGGUGGUUGGUGGAAAGCUUUUGUGGUUUUGGAUGGACUCGCGGCCUAUCAGCUUGUUGGUGGGGUAAUGGCCUACCAAGGCGACGACGGGUAGCCGGCCUGAGAGGGUGACCGGCCACACUGGGACUGAGACACGGCCCAGACUCCUACGGGAGGCAGCAGUGGGGAAUAUUGCACAAUGGGCGCAAGCCUGAUGCAGCGACGCCGCGUGAGGGAUGACGGCCUUCGGGUUGUAAACCUCUUUCAGUAGGGAAGAAGCGUAAGUGACGGUACCUGCAGAAGAAGCGCCGGCUAACUACGUGCCAGCAGCCGCGGUAAUACGUAGGGCGCAAGCGUUAUCCGGAAUUAUUGGGCGUAAAGAGCUCGUAGGCGGUUUGUCGCGUCUGCCGUGAAAGUCCGGGGCUCAACUCCGGAUCUGCGGUGGGUACGGGCAGACUAGAGUGAUGUAGGGGAGACUGGAAUUCCUGGUGUAGCGGUGAAAUGCGCAGAUAUCAGGAGGAACACCGAUGGCGAAGGCAGGUCUCUGGGCAUUAACUGACGCUGAGGAGCGAAAGCAUGGGGAGCGAACAGGAUUAGAUACCCUGGUAGUCCAUGCCGUANACGUUGGGCACUA